GGCAAUUGCUUUCGCAAAUGGUUGGAUAAAGGUUCCAAUAAGAUGAUUAAACUCUCAAUGCAGCAACAAGGGCUUUUUGGAUGUCUCAUUCUGACCUUUUGUCUUCAUUUGAGUUCUCUAUGUAUAAGAGUAAUCCCAUUUCUAUACACAUUCUUUUUGUUUUGUGAAGAUAUAGAAUUUUAACUUUAUUGCACUUGCUAUUUCCUUAGUCUGCACAUAACUGGUACAUUUCUUGCAAGCUGUUAGACAUUUCUAGUAAGAUGUCUUCGGGUUGUGUAUCGGUCGGUUCGAUUUUGAAGUUUAUUUGUUCGACUUAUCGGUUAUCGAUUUGUAAACAUGUUAAAUCGUUAAGAAUCAUUAAGAUAUUGGCUUAUCGGGUAUCGAUUUAUCUUGCUGCAAAAACAACACCAACACAUCGUAGAAUAACUGGAAGUUAGAGAUGCUAAAAAUAAAAAAUGAAACUAAAUCCUAAAUCAAGGACUUUAUAUAUCGAUUGGUAUAACUAUAAUAUAUUAAUAUACUAUUGGAUUAUUGGUUAACCCGUUAGCAAAAAACCUCAAACUGUUAAGAAUCGUUAACCUGAUAAUAAAAAAAUCAAAAUUGUUAAAUCAACAAUCCAUUACCGAUAAAUCAAUAACUUUUUUUCGAUUUGGUUUAACUAUUUUGGAUCGAUUUUGAAAAGCCCUGCUCUCAGCACACAAAUAUUAAAGAACAAAAUAGAAUGUGAAAUCUAGGUCCACAAACUUUUCUAAUUUCACGGCCUAGCAGACGAGGGAAAACGAUAUUAUAAACGAUAAAAUUUGUGUUGAGAAAAAUAAUAAUUAAGACAGAAAAAUGUUGCAACAAUCAUAGUAUUUGAUUUCAAAUAUAAUGAGUGUCACAAUUUUAUGAUAUUUCUCUGAUUCUUUAGUAAUAAUACGAACUAUGCUAAUUUCAAAUAUAAUGAGUGUUACAAUUUUAUGAUAUUUCUCUGAUUCUUUAGUAAUAAUACGAACUAUGUUAAAUGAAUUUGAUUUGAUUCAAAUGUUGAAAUAACUUUAAUAUUCGUCUUGGACUUGAUUUGAGUAAUUAUCUGUUGCGAACACUUGGAUGUUGGUAACGAAUAAAGGAUUUAGAUUUCACAUUCCAAAAAUGUUCUUUAGCUCGAAUGUUCUCGGAAUCUUGGCUUAUACAUAGAAAAUUAGCAUUUUCGAUUCCACUAGCUCUCUCUUGCUUCUUGCUAUCGAUUUCUAGAAUUGUUACGGGAACAAACUUUUUUCCACCAAUCAAAUCAUAUUUGAUAGUAUAUGUCACUAGUACACAUGACACAUUUUUAUUGGUCUUUCAUUUGAUUAGGUAUACUAUGUCAUAAUGACAGGUGGCAUGAUUUUAUUGGCUCAUUCAUUUGACUUGGUGUGCCACAUCAUGUGACCGUCAAUUUGGUCGACCUUUAGGAUAAAAUGAGAUUUUGAGCUUGACAAAGUGGGCUCGUCAUUUGUAGAUAUCACGAUCCAGACCGUUGUGAUUGACAUCCACACAAACCCUUCGGUGGGAAAAUCAUUACUACAACCCAAACAAACAAAUUUUAAGAAAACUAAGACAUGUAAAGAUACGGAAGCAGGUUUAAAUGACUAUAAAAACGGAGUCCCCAUAAACUCCAAGGUUUUAACAAACAACUAACCAAACUAAUGCGGAAGAACAACCCCUAGAACCUGAAAGUCAUUGUACCAAAACUCUACUAAUGACAAGUCUAAGAACAAGGGGUACAACCCCGAAACUAAACAACACCUUAAACAAAUAGUCUGAGUCCGAAAAGAGUGGACUUAAACAAGAAAGAUCCAUGGCAGCCCGAAAGAAUGGGCUCACCCUUGAAUCCGGUCACGCUCAAUAGUUAUCUAGCUGAGGUCUAUCAAUAGCCGCCUGAAGAUGCCUUGUACUCAACAAAGAACAAGCAAGUGCAGUAUCAGUACACAACCACAGUACUAGUGUACUGGUAGGAUCAUGCGGUUAUCCCAAUAAGUGAAGCACAUGCAAGUAACCAUAACAUUAUAAAGCAGGCAUAUACCGAACAUAUACAAUAUUAGUCAUCUUUUCAGGAUCAAUGUAGCAUCACAUAUUCUCAAUAAUACACAUUGGUUAUCAAUUUAGAGCAACAUACAGUCUUCCAAUAUCAAUCAUCAUUAGAUAUCAACGUAAUCAUCACAAGUAGAUACACAACACAAUUCAAUUGUCCUCUCACGGAACCCAAUUCAAUGGUCCUCUCAUGGAACCCACACCCAAAACUGUUAGCAUACCGGAACGUGGUACCUGAUCCAAUGUUUAUGCCGGAAUAUGGUAACCGAUCCCAUAAUUAUGUCGGAAUGUGGCAACCGAUCCCAUGUUUAUGCCGGAACGUGGCAACCAAUCCAUUCAACAAACCACAAUCACAAUCACAAUGUAUAUUCUCAUAAUCAUACAACAAGAGGUGAUUCAUGGCAUACAAUUAUUCAAUUAUCCUCAUUUACGAUUAGGGUGAUCAAUAAUGCAACAUUCACAUACAUACAUGCAUUAUAAUGAGCAAUUACAAACAUAUAUCACACCAACAUAAAAUCACAAUCAUUACCUACCUCAAAUACAAGCUUGAAUCCCUUAAGGCACUUGAAUCUUCCCUUUCCAGAUUCUUCCCGCUUGUUCGUGGUCUAAAAACAACAAUUUAUACGCAAGGAUCAACGAUCAAAGAUCUAAUUAUCAGGAUUAAACAAACUCAAUAACCCUAGACCAAACCCUUGAUCCCCAUACCCAGAUUAGUGCUUUUUCCACCAUAAAUUCCAGAUGAAAACCUCCCCCAUCGAUAAUUACCCAAGAAACUGAGUUCUACGAAUCGAAAAAUAGAUUCGGGAAGUGAAAACCUUACCUUUAGCAACGGUCAAGAACUCGGUUGGGGUCGUCUCCUAGCUCUCAAAGUCGAAAAGUGCAGAAUAAAACAUUUUUGGGGUUUUAUUUCCGACUUAAGUCGCAUCUGUCCCGCUAUAGCAGCCCCGCCCUGGCGGGAAUAAUUCCACCACAGCGGCUUGCAUGGAAACAGUGAGCAGAUUUAAGAAUUCCAAACCCCCAUUUCACAACACACCUUUAUCCCAUGACACUCAGAAAAUACUCGUUCACGCUAAGAUUAAUUUUGGGAGUUCUACUCACUCGAAUUCAAUUCCGUAAAGUCGUACAGGUUCUAUAACGUCUUAGAUAUCCACUCAUGUAAUCAAAUUCCUUAAUAGAUCUCUCAUUUGUUACCAAAUUUUUCUAGACCUCAAUGACUAUGAUUUCGUCCAAAUCUGGACUAAGCUAGGAAAUCUCAAGUUACUACGAAAAAGUUUUUUAGCCCCAAUUCUUUUCCCAGAGGGUUUUCCAUAACGAUGGAAUCAAGUCAUUAUAAUAGAUACUAAUUUAUCCAUCACACGUCCUCGAGUGAUCAACUAGGAAAGAUUGGCUAAAAAAUAAAGGUAGAGUAGUAUCUGAAUCGUCGAAUUAUUGGGGAUACUUGUUUCGCCUGCUCAUCUUAUCGAAUCUCAUUACCCCCUAAGGGUUACACAUCUCCAACCUCAAACCAACCAAUUGAAUACCUACACAUCCUCCCUUACAAUGCCUCAAUGAAGUCAUCACAAUGCUCGAGGGAUAAUUAUUGUUGUAUGUACACUUAGCUAACCACAAAGUUAUUCCCAAUAACCACCAAAGUUUGACCGUACGUACACAUGUCUGCAACAUGCUAUCAAGGACUUUGACACAAACAUCAGGAUAAAUCAUUUCUCACAUAACCAUGAUAAAUCCUAAAUCAAAACUCGCCAUAAUUAGAGGUGAACCUGAACCAACCAACACACAAUCAUAAUACCCGAACAAUCAUAGUUCUUAUCAACAUCUCCAUCUCACAACCCAAUUUCCCAUGAGUUUAAGUUAUAAAAAAAUUGGUCUUUAGAAAUCAGAUACUCAUCGAGGGAUAUGUCCAAGCAUACAAAUCCUCCAACAACACUAUCAAAAUGCUAGAUUUAGAAAUUGUAGAUUACCUCUUAAGAACAGUAGAAUUGGACCCAAUGAUUCCUACAUUCAACCACACAUAAUCGAUACAGGACCUCGACGACUAGAGAAAUAUUAAGAUUACCGGACAACGACAAAUACGCAUGGUAGCUCUUCUAUAAAAUUCUCAUAAGCAAGGUGGUACAUGUAGAACCACUAAAAUACUUUAACAACUCCAAGACAACACUAAUUAUAGUCAUUCGAAAUAACCAAAAUCUUCCCAAUCUUCCCACUAAACCAAGAGAACAUCGCAGGAUUUGGUACCCCUGAUCUACUACUAGGGAUCCACCCACAAAAGUGAAAAUACACUAGAGCAUAGCUAGUGAAUCAUACUCACAAUACUAACAACCUUUAUACACACUCCGACCAUUUACCUUAUUAUAAACCAACACUUUUAAAAAUGAAACCUUUCUUAGGUACUUAACAAUCAAUAGUAGUAAACUUACGACUCAACCCAGGUGUAAGUCCUUUCAAAUGCUCAAUACCAGAUACAAUUGAUCAUUUCUCACCUUAAUAAUUCAUACCUUGACAAAAUAUAUCACCACGAAUGUAGACUCACAAUGAAAAAUCUAAAUUGUAAUUUCCACCAUAUAACACAAUCUUUUCUCUAUCAACAUUAGCUUGUACCUUGAAGAUUUUUAUGAAUUCAUGGAUCUCCGUUUAUCAUUGAUCGCAUCUCCAUCGAUCUUACCAUAUAUUUCGCUAAAAUUUCAAUCAUACUCAUUACUAGCCUAAAAAACAAAACCAAGCACUUGUCAUCACACUCAAGCUAAUGUUCGCACACUCCUUUCUCAAGUCUUUUUCGACAGUUUUGACCCAUCUGAUGGACCCAUAACACUAUUACCAUAGCCACAACAAAACAAUGAAAUCACGCGUCUCUGAACCCAAUUAUCUACCCCACUAAAGAUAUAUCUUUAGCCCUUGCAAUCAAAUAAAAUAUUCUUGCUCUAGCCUCUCUCUUAAGUUUGUCCUACAUCCCACUAUAUUUUCCUUUAUUAUAACUCUAGCUCUUUAACAUUCUAUUUGAGUGGUGUCCCACCAUCUCUUAAACUUUCCAUACAACCACGUUACUCACCCAAUAUUAGAAAACCACGACCUUAGACACUCGUAAGUCGUACUUACUAUACAAAAUUCGCUUUACCAAUAAUCUUAUUAUAUAGUUGCAUCCCAUCACAAUCCAUCACGAACUCAUACCACCAUUACACUCGGUUAGCCCUGGCUAUCACUACGAAAUCAACCUUUUUAUCAACAAGACACCUCAAACUCAGGUAUACCCAUCAAAUUCAAAGGGCUAACCCAAUUUUAUACACAUUUACUUACAAAACUGUUCAAUCACCUUCACUCAUACUCAAUGGGACUUUCUUUAUCCAUAAGCUUGUCAUUUUGGUAUUAAUCCACUUCAUUAUGGCUUAAGAUAAAAUCACCAAUCCUCAUACUACCCUCCAUCUUCUUAACAACAAGACAGGAGCACCCCAUGGUGAAGCACUAGGACGGAUGAAACCUUAUCAAGAAGCUCUUGGAUUUGAGCCUUAAGCUCUCUUAAUUCUGCUGGAGACAUAUGAUACGGAGGGAUGGAAAAUGGGGCAAAGUGCCAGUUUCCAAGUCAAUGCAGAAAUCUAUAUCUCUACCUCCAACCAAUCUAUCUACCACACCUCCAAAACGGCCGACAAUUUUUCUGGAUAGGUCGAACUAUUGGAAGAAAAUAGAAAAGGAAAACCGAGUGGGAAUUAAUGAAAUUACACCUAUAUCGUGAGUUGGAGGAAAGCCCAUCUUUUUUUGCCUACUCUUGGUGCCUAUGUACCGUACUCUUUUUGUACCUCGAAAGGGGGGUCCUCCUUAUGAUGACUCAGACACCACAAGAACAAACUCAAUAGAGGGAGACUAAACCUCAACAUCCCAAACAUGAGCCAUUUAAGCCAAACAACCCUGCCCCACCAAUUUCCUAGCCCAAAUGGAGGAUAUGAUCUUAGCUAGCUUAGGCUUGUACACCCCUUCCCACUCUAAUCUUUCCUUAUCGGAAAUCUCUAGAGUUACCGACUUAGUAUUAUAAGUAAGCACGGUAUAACGGAGGGGGGGGGGACAAUCAAGUCAUGCCUAAGAUUAUAUCAAGUCAGUCAUAUCCAGCAUAACCAAAUCAACCCAAGUAUGAAAAUCCAUAACCUCAACAUGACAACACGAUACACAUGGGUUUCUAUGACUGACUAUUCAACUAGGGUAGAAACAUGGAUGGGGGCAUCAAAAAUAUAACAAACCACAUCAAAUCCCAAGGCAAUUGAACUGACACAUACGAAUAAGUAGAACCCGGAUCAAACAAAACAAUAGCCAUCCGGGCACAUACAAGAGUAGCACUAGUGACCACUACAUCACACACCUCAACUCGGUCUUGAUCGAAAACACAUAUAACUUAGCCCUGUCAUCUUGACAGGCAACCUCCUCUCCUGGCUGCACUACUCCUCUACCUGCAUUACCAUUUCCCCGGCCUUGCUGGUUUCCUCCUCAUAUGUCCAGGUUCUCCACAAUUUUAACACACUUUAUAACUUAUAUUCAAUUACUGAACACUGAAUUAGAUCGCGGGGGUUAGUUCAAGUACGAUUCGGGGUCCAUAAUUGUGACUAGGGAAAACAGGAGAGAUAGGGCUGAGAUUCUGUCUCGCCUUAUCCCGCUCUAGAGGCCUCACCUUGGCAAGAAAAUCCCACCCCAGCGGUCCCGACGGAAACAGAAUCCCUACUAACAAUUUUUCUGGGGUUCCUCUCUUUUCUAUAUUUCCCCUAGAUUUCCCAACUAUAACUAGGCAUUUAAGAAAAUCCCUUUAGCUAGGGCAAUCAUUGUCUACCCCCCGGUCAACCCAACGAAGUACACACUUUAGAAUCCUUUUACAUCGUUUCAACACUACCACACACAUAUCACAGGAUACACCCAGACUCUCACACGGUUAUCAAUUGGUCACAACGCACGUCCAAAUUUCUCGCUUACUAACCACAUCAUAAUUUUUCUAGACCCUUGUACCUAAUCUCGUGAUAAUUUUCUUUUCAUAACAAAUUUCACGAUACUCGAGUAGUUACAACUUGCAGACAAGUCCAAAUUCUUUAAUUAGUUCGUUCCAUAGACGACCAUUACUGAUCAUUUAUGCCUUAUACGACCCCUAAGGCCAUAUACCAAUUGGAACCUUCUCAGUUCCAAUUAACUUUCUUGUGUCCUUUCAACAAGGACUACAUCGUCUAGUUCACUUCGUUGAGAUACCAAUUGGACUCAACUCAUACCACAAGCGACAAUGGUAGCUAGCGAGCCCUAUAAAACUGCUAAUUUCAAUCAUAGAACUUGGUCGAACCCAAUUCUUAACCGCCUCAACCCUUAACUAAUGGUAAUCAGACCUUAAAUCAAUCUUAGAAAAAAUCGAUGCACCUUGCAAUUGGUCAAAAAGGUCAUCUAUCCAAGGCAAUGAAUACUUGUUAUAAAUGGUGACCCUAUUCAACUAUCGGUAGUCUAUACACAUCCUCUCUUACUAGNNNNNNNNNNNNNNNNNNNNNNNNNNNNNNNNNNNNNNNNNNNNNNNNNNNNNNNNNNNNNNNNNNNNNNNNNNNNNNNNNNNNNNNNNNNNNNNNNNNNNNNNNNNNNNNNNNNNNNNNNNNNNNNNNNNNNNNNNNNNNNNNNNNNNNNNNNNNNNNNNNNNNNNUUUUUCCUAAAGUCCUAUAGCCUCUCGAAAAAAAGUACGAACGUCAUCGUAUCGUUCCGCAAGACUCUACUAGACUCAUUUUUGUACCAUGAGAUCAACAAACCCAGGACUCUGAUACCAACUUUAUCACGACCCAGACCGUCGUGAUUGACAUCCACACAAAACCCUCCCGGUGGGAGAACCAUUACUACAACCUAAACAAAUAAAUUUUAAGAAAACUAAGGCAUUUAAAGAUACGGAAGCAGGUUUAAAUGACUAUAAAAAUGGAGUCCCCAUAAACUCCAAGGUUUUAACAAACAACUAACCAAACUAAUCCUGCUCAUUUGUUGAAACAUACUCUGGAUGUAUUAGCCCUUGCUGAACCUUUUCCCUUAUGAAAUGGCAGUCUAUUUCUUUGUGAUUUGUCCUCUCAUGAAAUACAGGAUUACUUGUUAUUUGCAUUGCUGCUUUGCUAUUUGUAAGUAGUCAAAUUGGUGUAGUUAUCUCCACUCCCAAAAACUUAAACAAUCCCAAUAGCCAAAUUAAUUCUGAUACUGUCGGUGCCAUGCUCCUGUAUUCUGACUCAGCUGAGCUCCUUGCCACAAUGUUUUAUUUCUUUGACUUCCAAGAGAUUAAUGACUGUCCAAAUUUCAUAAUAUCGCCAGUCACUGACUUUCUUGAAUUUGGACAACUGGCCCAAUUAGCAUCACAAUAUGUUGUGAGAGAAGCACUUCCUUCUGCACUCAUUAAGAUUCCCAGACCUGGUUCAUUCUUUAUGUAUCUUACAACUCUGUGUGCUGCUUCUAGGUGAGACUUGUUAGGAUUUUGCAUAAACUGACUCAAGGUCUGAACACUAUAUGCAAUGUCUGGUCUGGUUAGUGUUAAGUAUAGCAAUUUUCCUAUCAGUCUCUGAUAACCUUUGAUAUCACUCAACAGUGCAUCAUCCUGCAAGCCACAAUGCUGGUCAUACUCCUGACUUGUGAGCUUCUGAUUUUGUUCAAGUGGUGUCAUUGCAGUUUUGGAUCCUGCCAGUCCUAGAUCAGCAAUUAGUUACGGUGCAUACUUCCUCUGGCACAAUAGAAUCCCCUUCUUGGACCUGCAAACCUCAAUUCCUAAGAAGUAUUUCAAAGACCCUAGAUCUUUGAUCCUAAAAGCUUUAUGUAACACAUCCUUAGCCUCCUGAAUUAGUCCCUCAUCAUCUCCUGUAAUCAGUAAGUCAUCUACAUAGACCAAUAUAAUCACCUGCUUGCCAUGCCUUCUUAAGAUGAAUAAUGAAUGAUCAUGUUGACUCUGAUUGAAAUGUGCUGCUAAUAGGGCAUUAGUAAGUUUAAGUUUCCAUUGUCUGGAUGCCUGUUUGAGACCAUAUAAGGAUUUGAGAAGCCUGCAACCCUGAUUCUGCCCCACCUGGCUACCAAAUCCAGGAGGAAACUGCAUAUAAACCUCUUCUUCAAGAUCACCUUGCAAGAAGGCAUUAUAGACAUCUAUUUGGUAUAAGUUCCAGUUGUGCAUGGAAGCCAAAGCAAUAACAGCCCUGACUGUAACCAUUUUGACAACAGGGCAAAAAGUUUCCUGGUAAUCUAGACCUUCAAGUUGUCUGUAACCCUUGGCAACCAACCUAGCUUUAAACCAUUCAAUAUCUCCAUUGGAAUGAUACAUGAUCUUGUAGACCCAUUUACAGCCAAUAGGAACCUUCCCUUUAGGAAUAUCAAUCACCUCCCAAGUCUUGUUUUGAACAAGGGCUGUGAUCUCAGUCUGCAUGGCAGCAAGCCAUCUGGGAUCUGUGACAGCCUCAGCAUAAGAAGAAGGCUCAACUUCAGAAGAAAUAGAAGCCAAGUAAGAUUGGCAAUGUGGAUUAAGAGAGGCAUAACUAACAUAAUUGGAGAGGGGAUAAGAGCAAGCUUUGGUUCCUUUGGACGGGCAAACAAAAUUUGUCAUCCAAAUAGGAGGUCUAGAAGGUCUACAAGACUUUCGUGCAGGUGGAUGAGGACCAUCAAUGGUCUCAGCAGGAACUGAUGACUCUUGUAAAGGUGAAUUGGAUGCAGAAAUAGGCUUAUCAGGGGAAUGCACAAUCUCAGAUGCAACAGGAGGUGGAUAACAAUCAUCAGAUGUACCCUCUAAUUCUGGGAAAAGUCUGUUGUAAUCACUACGCUUCAACUGGAGAAAAGGGAAUAUAUGUUCCCUGAAGGAUACAUCCCUACUCACAAAGUACCUCUUGGACUUAAAAUCAUAAUAUUUGUAAGCCUUUUGUGUAGCAGAAUAGCCCAUGUGUACUGCAGCAAUAGCUCUAGGAGAAAAUUUAUCUACUUUCUCAGUGACAGUUGCAAAACACAAGCAACCAAUAACUCUGAGAUGGGAAAGUGAAGGCUCAGUUUUGUGAAAAACUUCAUAUGGUGAUUUUCCAGCUAAUACAGUAGAUGGUAGUCAGUAGACUGCUGUCAAAACACAAUCUCCCCAGAAAUGGAGUGGUAGAUUCCCUUGAAACUUUAAAGCUCUUGCCACUUCUAAAAUGUGUCUAUGUCUUCUUUCCACUACUCCAUUUUGUUGUGGAGUAUGUGGACAACUACUUUGAUGCCCAAUUCCACUUUGGAGUAGGAAACCUGUACAUUCUUUACUAAAAAAUUCAGCACCAUUAUCUGUUCUUAUCAUCUUAACAUGCCUAUCAAACUGAACAGUUGUCAUUUUAAUAAAGGAUUUAAGCAAAACAACAGCAUCACUUUUCAUUUUCAUCAGAAAAAUCCAUAUCAUCUUAGAAUGAUCAUCUAUAAUAGUGAGAAAGUAUCUAUGACCAGCAUUAGUAGAAACCUUGUAGGGUCCCCAGAUGUCUAUAUGAAGCAACUGAAAAAGUUUUGUUGAUCUAGUAACACUGUGAGGAAAUGGCUUCCUAGUUUGUCUAGGAAUAGGACAUACAAUGCAAUUAUCAAAACUACAGACUGCCACUUUAUUUUGUAGGAAAGACAACUUUUGCAUAACACCAGCUGGGAAGUGUCCAAGUCUUUUAUGCCAUGUUUGAACAUCAUCUAUGACCUUUUCUGCAAGGCUGCUGCUGGUUCUACUGCAAAUCUUCUCAGAACCUUUUGGCUGUAGGAGAUAGAGACCACCCUCUUCCUUACCAAUCCCCUUCACUUUCCCAGUAUAAAGGUCCUGGAAGACACAAAAUAAAGUGUGAAAAGAAUAUCACUGAGCACGAUAAUUCUUUUGUUAGUUGUGAUACUGAUAACAAGUUAUACUUGAAACAUGCACAUAUAAGACAUUUCCCAUGGCAUAGCCACCUGCAAUAUGACAUGUUCCUUGGUAAUCAACUGGUAUUGUCUUACCAUUAGGAAGAUAUACAUUACUCCUUAUUGUGUCAUAUGUGUUGGUCACAUUAUUAGUCAAUAAGUGCAAAUUACUGGUCAUGUGGUCAUGUGGUCAUGUGGUCUGUGGUUCCAGUAUCAAUUAUCCAAGCAUCUGUACAAUUCAAUUGUUCAAUGAGUAUUGUCAUUUUGUAGAUCAAUAAGAUUGAUAUACAUCGAAAUCUCAGAUCAUGUAGUAUAAUUGGAAUCUCUCUUCACGGUUGGAUCAAUCUAAACUUGAAUGAAUUUGACAGGUUAUGAUUUUAUGAGCUAUUUUUGUCAACUCUAGAUAUAACAAAAACUAUCUUUCCAUAGUGACAAAACAUUAUAUUAGUGUUGAUCUCAAUAAAAAAUCACAUGAUAACAUCUUAUUCUCUCCGCUUCAAAAUAAAUGAUGUUUAAAAUCAAACCAAGUAUUUUGAAAGAUUUUUUACGCUAAUAAAAAAGAAUACUCUAAUUCAAAAGAAUAUUUGUUGCUUCUCUUUGAGUUUAUAAGUAAUCGACUUACUCAGUUUUAUAUGAUAUCAUUUUGAAUUAAAAAAAAAAUGAUAGAUAUGAAUAUAUUUGUACACAAGAAAAUGUCCAAAUUUACCUUCUAUUGAUCGAAAACAAUUUAAACUUACACCUCAUUAUAAUUUUAGGUCACUAAUAUUCUUGUUAUUAGCAUACCAACUCAUAUUAAAAAUGCAAAUAACAAAAAAUAUGAAUACACAGGGAAGGUCAAAAUAAAUCCCAAGCAAUAAAUCCAAAUUGAGGUAAAUCUUAGAAUUAUGUUAGAGUUCAGCUAGUAUUGGCAUCACUUUAAAAAUGGAUUAUAUUGUUCACGAUAAAUUCAGCCCAAAACAAAAUUAUUUUGUGUCCAAUUCAUAUAUAUAUAUCAUCAUCAUCAUCUGCAUAGAGUGUAUAAUAAACUCUCUGAUAAUCAUAUAAUACUUAGUUUUAUCUAGCUCUUAUUUUCUUCAUGCUUGUUAAUUAGUAGAGGUUUGUUAUCUCAUUAGGAUUGGUAAGGUAAGGCCUAGCCCCCCUUGCUUGUACUUAUUCACGUUGAGGAUUUUAUCUUAUUAUUAAUAAAAGGCCGCUAGACACCCUGUACGUCUAGUGGUAUAAAUUUGUGUUUUUUUUUAAAAAUAAAAAUAAAAUUAAUAUAUAUAUAAUUUAUACAUUUGUAGACUAAUUGGACAAGUGUAAUUGGCCAUAAUUAUCCCUAAUAAUGUCUUUCUUUCAAGACCAUAGUUCCCUUACAGUGAAAAAUUAAGAACUCUACUUUUGGGUUCCUACUUAAAGAUUGAAAACUCGCAAAUGAGCUUUUUUGAUUUAUUAAUUUGUAUGAAAAAUUGAUGAUUGAGUUUGUUGAUGAUGUCAUUUUGAAGCUAUUUCUACACUUGAUGUGAGUAUUAGUUUUGUUUUUGAAUUAUUGAUAGCCUUAAAAACGUUUUUUAAUUUGACUAAUUGAACUUAAAUACACCUCUCUCAUAUCAUACACAUAAAUGUGUUAUUCACGCGUGUACACAUGGUUUUCUACUGAUGUGACAUAUACAUAGAUAUAUUGUAUGAAAUGAGAGGGUGUUUUAAAAGUAGAGAGAUAUGUUAAGGUUUGUUAAUGAUUGAGGUUUCUUAAUAAUUUGUGGACGAAACUAAUAAUUUCGCGAAGUUCAAGAAUGAAACUAACAACCUCAUCUUUAUUUUAUUUUACAAUAUUAUUUAUUACUUUUCAUUUUCUUAUUGUCGAGGGAUACUAAAAUCCAUCUCCAUUAGAUUAUUUCCUUAUAACCUAUGUACGUUCGUUAGAUUCUUUCCUUAUAAUUUAUCCGAUCUAAAAUAAUAUAUCAACCCCAUGAAUCAUUUUUUUUUCAAAAAAAAACAAAGGCCUCAAAAACAUGUUUAGUGAGUAUAACUUACAGUUAAAUUGUUUACUUCGGUGUAAGUACACAAAGACCAACUAUUGGUUCAAUAACACUCUUUAGUCUCAAGGGGUCGAGAAUUAAUUCAAUUUUUGUUUACAUUCUUUAAUUAAAUACGAAAUUUCUUCUUAAACAUGCCCCAACUACUUUUAUUAUUCAUUAUAAAUAUUUAUUAUAUGAAUUAUGAUAACCUGAUUAUUUUUUUAAAAAAAAUUGAUUCAUAUUGUUAGUAUAUUAUUUCGGAUGAAAAAAUUAUAGGAAAAAAUCUUAUGGGAUGUAGUUUUUAUUUCACCAAAUAAGAAAGUAAUAAAUAAAAAAUAAUAUUUUAUAAAUAAAAUAAUAACAAGGUUGUUAGUUUCAAGGGUAUAAGUGAGUUAAAAAGUGAGUGGAGAAGUAUUUUUAGCAAAAUAGGUGGAUGAAAAGUUUUUUUACACCUUUUUCUAAAAUUCAUGGUAAUUAGUUUUACGGAUAUCAAUAGUUCGAGGACGAAACUAAUAAUUCUCGCAAGUUUAGUGGUAUUUUCAACUCUUCUCUCAGCUUUUUAUCAAGAGUCACACCCUCCUACAAGAGUUUGAGACCACUUAUUACGCCAUGUGAUAGAUCAUGAGUGUAUUUAAGUUUAGUCAGUCAAAAAGAUUAAUGUUUUUAAGACUGUUAUUAAUUUAACCAUGCGUUCUCUAAAAAUAAAUAAAUUAUUUGAUGAUGUUUUUGAACGUAUUUUUGUGGGUUGACUUUCUGAGCGCACUUUGCUUUCUUAAUAUCUGUCCAACGUUUCCUUGCUGUUCUCAUAAUCUCAUUUACUACUGAUUGGUAUUAAAGGUAAAAAAUAAAGAUGGUGUAACAAUUUCAAUUUCACAAUACAAACAUUCAAAUACUACUAUAAUUACUAAACUUGAAAUUAUAAUAGGAAAAUGGACCUAACAAAAAGAACUAUUGAGAAGAUAAUUAGAAAGGAGAUAGAGAAGUAUAGAAAGGGAUGAGAAGAUUAUAUAUUUUUCUCAACAAUCUGCAUAAAUCGUUCUUUCUCAUCGUUAUCGUUUUAGCUAGUUGUUAAUUGGGUCUAGGUUCCAAAUCAGCCUUUACAAAGGCCUUUCAGUUUUAUUGCUUUUUCUCAGCCUAAUAACUAGUUGUGUGACAUCCGUAUAGAUAUCAACAUUGGACCGAAGCUGGUUCAUAACAUAUGGACUGCCCUAUUUACACAUCCCAAUUACACAUCAUGAAAUGCAAUUGAUUCUGCAUCAAUAACAAGUUAUGACUUAUUCCCACUCAUUUAUGCAGGUCUCUACUUGCCAGUUCAUGCAUUUAUGAUGUACUCACUUUAGAUAACAAACAGCUCAUCACUUGUAAUUAAUAAGAUUCUAGAAUAGCCACUUUUAAGAAUGGGUUAUCUUUAUUUCAAUGUUUUGACUCUUUAUCUUUUGAGACUUUUUCAGAACAAAGAGAUGUGUCAAGUAUAUAUAUCUAUCAAUAUUGAUAUACAAAGAUCACAACAAUAAAUGAAGAAUUUUGUGGUAAUUGUUUAGCGAUUAUAUAAUAUAACUAUUACUAUAUUAUAUUUAACAACAAUAAUAUAAUAUGACUAUAUGAGUAUUUAUAACCAGCAUUCUAUAUAUAUAUGUCACUAAAUACUUUGUCAUUCUGAUGUAAUGGAAUUAACUUAAUUACUCUUAAAUAUUUUUACGACAAUAAAUAUUGCCCUAUAAAAAAUUAAUCUAUUGUCACUAGAUAUACCUACAACUUUAGAAGGUAUAUGUGUUAUUGUCACUAAAUAUACCUAUAACUCUAUAAUUUUUUUAUUUUCUAAUAAACUUUAAGUAUUUGGUGUAUUCAAUAUAUGUAUAUGCCUUAUAUAUGUUUACAUAUAACUCAUGAAAGAACCAUAUCCGUGGAAGUCAAGAACGAAAAGAUAAGCCCGAUAUAGACAUGGAGGGAAUAUAACGUACAAAUCAUUCAAAGAAACACAAAAAUGAAUUGUAUGGAGAAGAAAAUAUUAUGGAAGGUUACUCAAGUUUAGGUGUAUAUCAUAAAAGUCACUUUUCUUUAUUUUACUAUAUAUACGCAAAAAAAAUAGUUUUUUUGGGGUAAAUUUAUAACAAGACAUAAUAUUUAACAGCGUUAAGUAAAAAAAAUAAAAAAAUCAAUAGGGAUAAGAACAUGCAAGGGGGGUUAGGCCUUAUAACCUGGCCAAUUCUAAUGAGGUAACAAACCUCUACUAUCUAACAAGCAUAAAAAAAAUAAGAGCUAGAGAGAAGUUGGUAUUUUGUCAUCACCGCAGAGUUUGUAAUACACUCUAUGAUAUUACAAAUGAGGAUGCUUAAAUAAAGCAAAAAUAUAACAACUAAGAAGAAGGUUGAGUUAUUGUAAUGACCCGGUUGUUCAUUUUUGGAAAGGUUCAUGAAUUUAUCAUUUUGACCCUCCUGAUAUUGUAACGGCCUGUUCCCGUCGUUAUGGGAAAGCCCACAGGAAAUUUUUUUGGGCCGGAAAACUUUUUCAUAGUAUCUUGAGAUUUCUCAACCUAGUUCAGAUUUGGACGAAAUCGAAGUCAUUAAGGUGUAGAGAAAUCUAGUAACAAUCGGGUGAUUUAGUUAUGAUUUUGAUUACAUGAGUAGAUACAUAAGUCGUUAAGGAAUCUGUACGACUUUACAGAAUUGAAUUCGGGUGAGUAAAACACUCGAAGUUGGUGGAAGGUGUGUUGUGAAAUGGGGUCUUGGAAUUAUUAAAAUAGCUCACUGUUUCGUGCAAGUAGCCUUGGCGGUGAUUUUGGUCGCUCUGGCGGGCCAGAUGCUACUUAAAGUCUUAAAUAAACCCCAAAACGUAUUUAUUCUGCACUUUUUGGUUUUUAGAGCUAAGGAACGAACCCAGACGAUUCUUGACAGUUUUCCACCAUUUUUAAGGCUAAAGGUAAGAUUUUAACUCCCUGAAUUCAUUUUUCGAUCCGUAGAACCUAAUCUAAUGGAUAAUUAUCGAUGGGAAAAGGUUUUGAUCUAGAAACUAUGGUGGGAAAGGCCCUAAUUUGGAUACUUAGGAUCAUGGGUAUGAUUUAGGGUUGUUAGAAUCGUUAGUAAUUUGGGUAAUUAGUGAUUGUUUAUUGAUUCACGUAUUAUAUUGAUUAUUUGUAGACCAAGAACAAGCGAAACGAAUUCGGAAAGGGAAGGACCAAGUUUCUUAGGGUUUCAAGCUUGUUUCGAGGUAGGUGAUUGUUGUGAUUCUAUGAUUGUGUGAUGUACGUUUGUUCUUGCGUCAUAUGAUACUUGUAUGUAUGCGAAUGUUGCAUUAUUUAUCACACUUGUUGUAAAUGAGGAUAUAUGAAUGAUGAAUACCAUGAAUCAUGACUUGAUUGUAUGAUUAUGAAAAUGUACUUUGUGAUUGUGAUUGUGGCUUGUUGAAUGGAUCGGGUGUUGCGUUCUGACACACUAACUUGAAUCGGUUGCCACGUUCCGGCAUAAUUAUGGAAUCGGUUGCCACGUUCAAGCAUAAUCAUUGGAUCGGGUACCAUGUUCUGGUAUGCUAACUGUUUGGGUUUGGGUUCCAUGAGAGGACCAAUGACUUGUCAUAAUUGUGUAUCUUGAGAAAUGUGAAGGUGUUCGUUGUUCGUAAAUGUUGAUAAUAUUAUAUAUGCUCGAUAUAUGCAUGUGAUUAUAUUGUUGUAUUGACUUAUGUAUGUUGCACUUAGUGGAAUAGCCGCGUGGUCCAACCAAUACACUGUGGUUGUGUACUGAUACUGCACUUUGCUCUUUCUUUGUUGAGUAUAGGGCAUCUUCAGGCGGCUAUUGACAGACAUUACUUAGAAGAUCAGUGAUCACUUUCGAAUUCAAGGGUGAGCUAGUUCUUCCAGGUUGCCAUGAGUUCUUCUUUCGUCUAUGUCCACAUUUCAGACUUAGACUUUAUAGUUAGUUAAUUAGUUCAUUAGUUUGGGGUUGUAACCCUUCUUGUUUAGACUUAUGGAUCUUGUUAGAGUUUUGGUACAUUGACUUUCAGGUUCUAGGCAUAUUUUCCGCGUUGUUUAGUUGUUAGAUCUUUUAGAAAUUUAUGGGAACUUCAAUUUUUAUUGAUUUAUUCCUGUUUUCGUAUCCUUAAAUGUUUUAGUUUUGGUUUAGUUGCUUGGUUUGGGUUGUAGUAUUGGUUCUCCCACCGGAGGGUUAGUGUGGGUGCCAAUCACGAUGAUCUGGGUCGUGACAAAAUUGAUAUCAGAGCCUAGGUUCGUUGAUCUCGAUGUACCAAAACGAGUCAAGUAGAGUUGCGGAAUGGUACAUGGAAGCCUUUACUUUUCUUUGAGAGGCUAUAGGACUUUAGGAAAUCUCUCUAUUUACUCUUGUUUCAUUUCGUGCUAUAACUUGAUUCCAAUUGGUAUCUGGCAAUUCAAAUUGUUAUCUAACCUCCGUCACUCUUCUGUCUAUGGAUGGUUAACACUAGAUUCAAUGGCGUCAGACCCGUAGCUCCCGUCAAUGCUCCAGCUGAGAAAUCUGCAGCGAGAGUUCGCGAUCGAGGAAGAGCUAGGGGUAGAGGUCUAGGAAGAGUGGUGCCUGCUAGAGAUAGGGUACCAGUCGGAAAUGCUCCCCAAAAUGAGGUCCCUCAUGUGCAUCAUGAAGAGAUAGAAGAGGAUAUUGAGGUUGAAAAUGUUGAGGAGGUUGGACAAGAGGAAGAGAUGCAGGCUGAGACUACCAGUGUUCCUCCCAUAGACCAGUAUUACCUCAACAGAUCAUGUCAUUCCUGAAAAGGUUGGUUGGUCCUAGAGUGCUUCCUUCUGCUCAAGCAACUCAAGCUCCUACUAAUCCCCCUGUUGCUAGCACUGCGCCCAAGGUGGGUGGGACUGGAGGUAAUGAUGCUUUCUUCCGUCCUUUGUUGGGUUCUGUUAUGACUGGUAAUGAGCAUGAGAUGUUGACUAAGUUUUUGAAGCUAAAGCUUCCUGUAUUUCUUGGUUAUGAGAAUGAGGAUGCUUAUGAGUUCAUCUUAGACUGCUAUGAGAGGCUUCAUAAGUUGGGAAUUGUCCAUCAGCAUGGGGUUUAGUUUGUGACUUUUCAGCUUCAAGGUGAGGCUAAACAGUGGUGGAGAGCUUAUAUGGAAUGUAGAUCUUCAACUUUACCUCCACUCACUUGGACCUAAUUUCAUGCUCUGUUUUUAGAGAAAUAUGUGCCUAGGACUUUUAGAGAUCGCAAGAAGGAUAAGUUCAUGGCUUUGGAGCACGGUGGUAUGUCUGUGGCUGCUUAUGAAGCCAAGUUCCAUGCUUUGUCUAGAUAUGCUACUCAAUUGGUGACUACUGAGGAGGAGAGGAUCCGUUUAUUUAUUAGGGGACUAAAUUCUAAGUUGCAGGUAUUAUCUGUUCAUAUGACCUCUGCAGGGAGGAACUUUAAUGAGGUAACUAAUUUUGUUAAGAAAGUGGAGGGGGUGAGGCGAGACAGUCAAGCUAAGGCAUUGGCAAAAAGAGCCAAGAACUCGGGUAACUUUCAAGGUUCUUACUCCAAGGGGUCUAGAAGGCCAACGCUUGCAGCCAGACCAAUUCAGUCCACUAUACCCGCCUCAACAGGUAAUUACUCGGGAACUCCAUCUCAAAAUUUGAUUCAGGAUAGCCAAAGAGUCGUACCUCUGACGGGUGACAAACCAUCUUUUGAUUGUACUUGCUACAAUUGUGGAGAACCUGGGCAUAUGAGGAAAGAUUGUCCCCACCCACGAGUGUUAGAUUCUGCGCAGCAGCAGAAUAGAGCAAUGGUACCCACGGAAAAUGGUAAUAAUGGUAGAGGACAUCCACAAGGUGGGCGAGGAGGUAAUCAUCGAGGCCGUGAAGGUAGAGGAAAUGGUAACGCAGGCAGGGAUAACGCGCAACCAGGCACGGAAGUAGCUCGUCAAGAUGAUAGGGUUCAGUGUUAUGCCUUUCCAAGCAAGAAUGAGGCAGAGGCGUCUGACGCAGUGAUCACAUGUACUAUUCUUGUCUGUGACCGGAUGACUAAUGUGUUAUUUGAUUCGGGUACUACUUAUUCAUAUGUAUCCGUGCGAUUUGCCUCAGAAUUUUCUAUGAUUUGUGAUAUACUUGAUAACCCCAUCCAUGUUUCUACCCCAGUUGGAAUGUCUGUCAUAGUCACCCAUGUUUAUCGUGCUUGUCCUAUUUUGUUUAAGAGGUUUCUGACUUGGGCUGAUUUGGUGAUUUUGGAUAUGGCUGACUUUGAUGUAAUCUUAGGCAUGGCUUGUUUGUCCCGUUAUUAUGCUGUGCUUAAUUGUAAUACUAAGUCUGUAACUCUAGAAAUUCUGGGAAAGGAAAAGUUAGAGUGAGAAGGGGUGUAUAAGCCUAAGCAAUCUAAGAUCAUAUCCUCUUUUCGGGCUAGUAAACUGGUAGAGCAGGGUUGUUUGGCUUAUUUGGCUCAUAUUCGGGAUGUUGAAGUUGAGUCUCCAUCUAUUGAGUCUAUUCCUGUGGUGUUGGAAUUUAGAGAAGUGUUUCCUAAUGACUUGCAUGGUAUGCCUCCGGAUAGGGAUAUAGAUUUGUGCAUUGAUUUAGAACCCAGUACUCGUCCCAUUUCUAACCCUCCAUAUCGCAUGGCUUCGGCGGAAUUAAGAGAGCUUAAGCCUCAAAUCCAAGAACUUCUUGAUAAGGGAUUCAUUCGUCCUAGUGCUUCCCCGUGGGGCGCUCCAGUUUUGUUUGUCAAGAAGAAGGAUGGUAAUAUGAGGAUGUGUAUAGAUUACCGACAAUUGAAUAGGGUCACUAUUCGAAACAAGUAUCCCUUGCCUCGAAUAAAUGAUCUUUUUGACCAAUUGUAGGGUGAUUCAAUUUUCUCCAAGAUUGAUCUAAGGUCUGGCUACCAUCAGUUGAAAAUUAGGCCUAAGGAUAUGCCCAAAACGGCGUUUAGAACCCGCUAUGGGCACAAUGAAUUUCUGUUUAUGUCUUUUGGUUUGACUAAUGCACCUGCAACUUUCAUGAGUUUGAUGAAUGGGGUGUUCAAGCCAUUUCUUGAUUCUUUCGUCAUAGUCUUUAUUGAUGAUAUUUUGGUCUAUUCAAAAAGUGAGGAAGUGUAUGCCGACCAUCUUCGUAUUGUUCUGGGUGUUUUUGGGAAACAAAGUUAUAUGCGAAAUUCUCUAGGUUUGAAUUUUGGUUGACUUCGGUUCCAUAUUUGGGGCAUUAGUUUCAAAAGAAGGGGUAAUGGUAGAUCCUCAAAAUAUUGAGGCGGUUAAGAAUUGGGUACAACCUAGCUCUGUGACGGAAGUUAGGAGUUUGUAGGGCUCGCUAGCUACUAUCAUCGAUUUGUGAAGAACUUUUGCUUCUAUCGCCACUCACUUGACAAAUUUGACCAAAAAGGAGAUACCAUUUUGAAUGGACUGAAAAAAAAUGUGAGGAGAGCUUUCAAAAGCUCAAGACUCUUUUGACCACCGCACCCAUUCUAGCAUUACCGGUUGAAGGUAAGGAUCUUAUUGUUUAUUGUGAUGCUUCACAUUCUGGUUUUGGUGCUGUGUUGAUGCAGGAUAAGAAUGCUAUAGCCUAUGCAUCACGUCAAUUGAAGGUGCAUGAGAGGAAUUACCUAACACAUGAUUUGGAGUUGGUAGCGGUAGCGUUUGCUCCUAAGAUUUAGCGACAUUAUCUGUAUGGUGUUAAAUGUGAGGUAUUUACUGAUCAUCGUAGUUUGCAGCAUGUGUUUACUCAAAAGGAUCUGAAUUUGAGACAGAGAAGAUGGAUGGAGUUAGUCAAAGAUUAUGAUGUGACCAUUCAAUACCAUCUGGGUACGGCAUACGUUGUGGCAGAUGCUUUGAGUCGCAAAGCGGUGAGCAUGGGUAGUUUAGCUGGCUUGAGUGUAUCCAAACGACCCUUAGCUAAGGAAAUUCAGACCCUGGAGUCUAAGUUCAUGCAGUUGGGCAUCUCAGAAAGAGGUGGGGUGUUAGCUAGCAUUGAAGUGAGGGCCACAUUCAUUGAGGAGAUCAAGGCCAAACAUUUUGAGGAUGAGGAUUUAGAGGAGUUUAGAAAGAAAACUGCGAUUGGUGAGGCACAAGAGACCACUCUUGAUGCGGAGGGUGUGCUCAGUUUUAAAGGGAGGAUUUGUGUUCCCCGAGUUGAUGACUUGAUUAAAAAAUUGUUGAUAGAAUCACAUGGCUCGCGAUAUUCUAUUCAUCCGGGUGUGACCAAGAUGUAUUGAGAUUUGAAGAGAAUUUAUUGGUGGUCGGGCAUGAAGAAGGAUAUAGCAAAGUUCGUGGCUAAGUGUCAAAAUUGCCAACAAGUGAAGUAUGAACAUCGAAGGGCUGCAGGUUUGCUGCAAAGAUUGCCAAUUUCGGAAUGGAAGUGGGAAAGGAUAGCCAUGGAUUUUGUGGUUGGUCAUCCCAAGACUUUGGGGAAGUUUGAUUCUAUUUGGGUAGUGGUUGAUAGAUUGACUAAGUCAGCCCAUUUUAUUAUAAUGUUGAACAAUUGGCUAAAGUUUAUGUGAAAGAGAUAAUGAGGUUGCAUGGGGUGCCCCUUUCUAUCAUGUCAGAUCGUGGUACUCAGUUUACCUCCAAGUUUUGGAGGAAAUUACAUGAUGAAUUGGGAACACAACUCACUUUUAGUACAACCUUCCAUCCACAGACGGACGGACAGUCAGAGAUGACUAUUCAAGUGUUAGAAGACAUGUUGAGGGCAUGCAUGUUUGAUUUUGGAGGGCAUUAGGAUAAGUUCUUACCUUUGUGUGAGUUCUCUUAUAGUAAUAUUUAUCACUCCAGUAUAGAUAUGACACCGUUUGAGGCACUACAUGGAAGGGGAUGUAGAUCACCCAUAUGAUGGUUUGAUGUUGGAGAUGUGAAACCUUUGGGGGUUGAUAUAGUGAAGGAUGCUCAAGAUAAGAUGAAGAGUAUUCAAGCUAAGCUUUUAGCAGCCUAGAGUAGGCAGAAAAAGAAUGCAGACAAUAAGGUAAGAGACAUGACAUUUCAGGUUGGUGAGAAUAUUCUUCUUAAAGUAUCACCCAUGAAAGGGGUGAUGAGAUUUGGUAAGAAGGGAAAGCUAAGUCCGCGAUACAUUGGUCCCUUUGAGGUUCUUGAAUGCGUAGGCCAGUGGCUUAUAGAUUUGCUUUACUUCCUAAUAUAUCUGAAGUUCAUUCGGUAUUUCAUGUGUCUAUGUUGAAGAUAUAUCAUGGUGACGGGGAUUAUAUCAUUAAGUGGGACUCAAUUAUAUUAGACAAAGACCUCCAAUAUGAAAAGGAACCGAUUGCAAUUCUUGAUUGUGAUGUGCGUAAGCUGAGGACCAAUGAGAUUAAGUUCGUGAAAUUUCAAUGGAAGCUUCGUCUAGUUGAGGAAGGUACUUAGGAAACCGAGAGGGACAUACGAGACAAUUAUCCCUAAUUGUUCGUCGAUUCGGGUACUACUUCACUCCUUCCUUAGCCUAUUUUUUCCUAAGUUUGUCACUCGGGGACGAGUGAUGGGAUAAUUGGUAUCUAUUGUAACGACCUGUUCUCGUCGUUAUGGGAAAGCCAAUGGGGAAAAUUUUCAGGUCGGAAAACUUUUUCGUAGUAUCUUGAGAUUUCCCAACCUAGUCCAGAUUUGGAUGAAAUCGGAGUCAUUAAAGUGUAGAGAAACAUGGUAACAAUUGGAUGAUUUAAUUAUGAUUUUGUUACAUGAGUAUACACAUAAGUCGUUAAGGAAUUCGUACGACUUUACGGAAUUGAAUUCGGGUGAGUAGAACUCCCGGAAUUGAUCUUAGCGUGAACAGUAUUUUCUAAGUGUCGUUGGUGGAAGGUGUGUUGUGAAAUGGGGGUCUUGGAAUUAUUAAAAUAGCUCACUGUUUCGUGCAAGCCGCCUUGGCGGUGAUUUUGGUCGCUCUGGCGGGGUCACUGUAACGGAGUGAUGACCGUUGUGGCAGGCCAGACGUGACUUAAAGUCAUAAAUAAACCCCAAAUUGUGUUUAUUCUGCACUUUUCAGUUUUUUAGAGCUAAGGAACGAACCCCAUGCGAUUCUUGACAGUUUUCCAACAUUCUUAAGGCUAAAGGUAAGAUUUUAACUUCCCGAAUCCAUUUUUUCGAUCCGUAGAACAUAAUCUAAGGGGUAAUUAUCGAUGGGGGAGGGUUUUGAUCUAGAAACUAUAGUGGAAAAACCCCUAAUUUGGAUACUUGGGAUCAUGGGUAUGAUCUGGGGUUGUUAGAAUCGUUAGUUAUCCGGGUAAUUUGUGAUUGUUUAUUGAUUCCCGUGUUAUAUUGAUUGUUUAUAGACCAAAAACAAACGAAACGAAUACGCAAAGGGAAGGAUCAAGUUUCUUAGGGUUUCAAGCUUGUUUCGAGGUAGGUGAUGGGUUGUGAUUCUAUAAUUGUGUGAUGUAUGUUUGUUCUUGCUUCAUUAUGAUACAUGUAUGUAUGUGAAUGUUGCAUUAUUGAUUACACUUGUUGUAAAUGAGGAUAUAUGAAUGAUGAAUGUCAUGAAUCAUGACUUGAUUGUAUGAUUAUGAGAAUGUACUUUGUGAUUGUGAUUGUGGCUUGUUGAAUGGAUUGGGUGUUGCGUUCUGACACACUAACUUGAAUUGGUUGCCAUGUUCCGGCAUAAUUAUGGGAUCGGUUACCACGUUCUGGCAUAAUGAUUGGAUCAGGUACCACAUUUCGGUAUGCUAACUGUUUGGCUUUGGGUUCCAUGAGAGGACCAAUGACUUGUCAUAAUUGUGUAUCUUGAGAAAUGUGAAGGUGUCCGUUGUUCGUAAAUGUUAAUAAUGUUGUAUAUUCUCGAUAUAUGCAUGUGAUUAUAUUGUUGUAUUGACUUAUAUAUGUUGCACUUAGUGGGAUAGCCGCGUGAUCCUACCAGUACACUGUGGUUGUAUAUUGAUACUGCACUUGCUCUUUCUUUGUUGAGUAUAGGGCAUCUUCAGGCGGCUUUUGACAGACCUCGCUUAGAAGAUCAGUGAUCACUUUCGAAUUCAAGGGUGAGCCAGUUCUUCUAGGCUGCCAUGAGUUCUUCUUUUGUCUAUGUCCACAUUUCAGACUUAGACUUUGUAGUUAGUUAAUUAGUUCAUUAGUUUGGGGUUGUAAAGCUUCUUGUUUAGACUUAUGGAUCUUGGUAGAGUUUUGGUACAUUGACUUUCAGGUUCUAGGCGUAUUUUCCGCAUUGUUUAGUUGUUAAAUAUUUUGGAAGUUUAUGGGAACUUCUGUUUUUAGCGAUUUAUUCUUGUUUUUGUAUCCUUAAAUGUAUUAGUUUUGGUUUAAUUGAUUGUUUUGGGUUGUAGUAGUGGUUCUUCUACCGGAGGGUUAGUGUGGGUGCCUAUCACGAUGGUCUGGGUUGUGAUAGAUAUUGACCCCGAGUUAUUUCUAAUUGAGUUUUUAAAGUUGAUUUCUAACGUUUAGUUAUAAGUUGUGAAGUUUUGUAAGAUUUGAGUUUGAAAGGCUUAAGUUGUUAAAAAGUGAUUUUCAGCGUCUUUCAAAGUUUUGAGUGUCAUAAUAGAAUUUCGUCGAUCACAUUAGUCCGAAAUAUGGAAUCUGGUUUGUGAGAGUUGUCAGUUUAAGAUUUAGAGUCUUUUUUAUAUUUGAGAUCCUAAGUUGGAAAAUUAUGGAAAUUUAGCCUUUGAGUUAACUUUGGUCAACAUUCGGUGUUAGGAUAAGGUUGUGUAGGAACAUUCAAGGUGAAUGAAACCUUAUGGAGCUAAAAUGGAGUAAGGAAUUGCGGAGACAUCGCAAGGAGCACUACUGAUUGGAGCGAUGCGCCAAGGGCUAAACUACUGCCACCUCUGAGUGGCACACUGACUGGCGUGAGGCGCUAAAGAGGAAACUACUGGCACGCUUCUGUGUCGCACUGGCUGGCGCGGCACGCCAGAGCAAAAAUUAUUGAGAAUUGAAGCUGGCGCACUGAGUGGCACGGCACCCCAGCCUUUGCCCGACGUGCCCAGCGAAAACUGAUUUAGUUAGGACUCCUGUUUGGUUUGGAAUUAGAAGAACUUUUCCUAAACUCUAUAAAUAAGACCCUAUGGUUAUUUUGUAAAUGGUCAACUUCAUUUUGGUGUGCAAGAGCAAGGAUUAACACAUUGUAAUAGGUUUCAAUUUUCUAACUCUUUCUUUAAUUGUGAAUCACAUGAACAAUAUUAUAUUUGAGUUGUUGAAUAUUAUGAGUGGUUAAACGCCCUUGUUUUGGGGAUGUAGCUACGGAUAAUUGUUGAGCAUCAACGAUUUUGAAUUAAUUUUGGGUUAUCGUUUUAAGUUACUUUUGUGUUCUUAUUUUAGUAUUUCUUGACUGCCAUAAUAGAGAUAAAUCUCGUCUACUGUUGGACUCAGGAGACGAUAAGAUAGAUAGACUAAAGGAUACAAAAAGCUUGAUCUUUCUUAAAUUGAUUAGAUUUGUGUUUAGGAGUGAAGCCCAGACGAACACCUAGGUUGGUUAUAAAAUAGGAUGAAAUAUAAAUGCUUGUCAAUUAGACAGCUAAUUGGAGUAGGCGAUUAGAGGUCGGGAGACCAUGAUCAUAAAAUCAACCCUGUAAAUCAGUAACUUGAUAACCUUAAUUAGUUUAUUACUUGAGAUGCAAUAUGUGAAAUCCGGUGUAUGCUGCAGCCCUGGAAUUGACUCUUACUUGUUUAAAACAUCAAAAUGAAGUCGUUCGCACUAGUUACUUUAGUUAUUAAAUUUGUCAUAGUAGUAAUACACAACAACCAAACUCUUUUGAAGAUACUUUUGUUAAAUUGUGGAAUUAAGUUAGUAAAUAUAAAUUGAUCGUAAGUCUCUUGGGUAAGAUAAAUCGUUUCUACUUGUACAACCACAUACACUUGCGUGUGCAUUUGGGCGCAACAAGUUUGUGGCACCGCUUUCGGGGACUUUAGAAUUGAUUUAUAUUUAAUUUUCUUAAGUCUACUAUUUGACUAUUCAAGUGCUAACAACUUGAUCUUAGCUCUUCUGUAUUGCAGACAUUUUGUUCUUAAGUUUGGCUCGAAAAGGAGAUCUCAUUGACCCAGACGACAAACUUGAAAGAGCUCUUCGACUACGAAGAAAACUAACGAAUCAAGGACGUCUGCAAGAAUUAGGAUUGGGUCUCUUGGAAAAUAUUAAAGAGAAGCACGAGGAUAACAUGAAUAACGAAGGACAAGAGGUAACCGUGGUAGUACCGACAAGAUUAGUUCUUGAUAUGACAGUCCCACUCACAGUCAACGUGGAAUCAAGUAUACGGAAACCACCACCAGGUGGAUGAUUUGAACUGAAACAAAACAUGGCAUACCUCAUUCACUCAGUGGGGCAGUUCACCGACCUUCCUCACGGGGAUCCCCAAGUGAAUAUAAUAAAUUUUCAGGAAAUAAGCGAUACAUACAUUACAAAUAGGGUAUCAUCUGACUAUGUGAGGUUGACUCUCUUCCCACUUUCAUUAUUGGGAGCAGCCAGACAAUGGUUAGAUACAGAGCCACCAAAUUCCAUCACUACAUUGGAUUAUUUAGCAAAUAUAUUCUUGAGUCGAUUCAUUCCAUUAGGCAAAACUGCAAGGUUGAUGAGUGAGAUCCUAAGCUUCAAGCAGAAAAAUGGAGAAGAUAUGUACCAAGCAUGGACUCGAUUUAAGCAGAUGUUAAAUGCUUGUCCACAUCACUACCAGGUGAUUGAGGUACUAGCUCACACUUUCUUUGAGGGUCUUGAUUAUAAUGCACGAGUACUUCUUAACAAUGCAACAUGUGGACAAGCUUUGGCAAAGACUUAUGAGGAACUAUUUGAUCUCCUAUAUAGACUCUCGGAGGGAAAACCCGAAUGGAAUAGAGAGGAAUCAAGGAAUACGACACAAAGGAUUGCAGGAAUUUUAGAUGUGGAUCAAGCAACUGCUAUAAAUGCAAAGUUAGAUGCAAUGCACCAUCAAAUAACCAUGCAGUUCAAGCAAAUCUCACUAAAUCAACAACAAGCACCAAUGAAUGCUAUACAAAAAUCUGGUGGUUGGUGCGGAGUUUGUGGUAGUGGAGAGCAUGUGACUGAAUAGUGUGAAGAAAAUCCAGACUCCAUGAACUAUGUGGGUAAUUCUCAAAGAGGUGGAGGUAUACAGAAAUAUGGUAAUACAUACAACUCAAGUUGGAGAAAUUAUACUAACUUCUCAUGGGGUGAAAAUAAAAAUCAGAACCAAAAUCAGGCAAAAGGGUCCAACCAAUACCGAGCAUAAGAGAAUGGGUCUCAUUAUCAAAAUAAUAGUCAAGGCGGUAACCAAAGUGCACAAAAAGGGGGUAUGACUAAUGAAGAGUUGUUCCAAAAGCUGAUGAUAGAAAUUGGUAAGAACAGUACUGACAAUACUAAAACCAAUGAAAGGGUAGAUAGGCAGGAUGAGAACUUGAGGAAUAUCCAAAUGUCGCAGAUGAAUUUGGAAAAAACAAGUGGUGCAAAUAGCUGAUGCGCUCAACUUGCAUCCACAAGGAGGUCUGCCGGGUGACACUGAUCCCAACCCAAAGCAAUUGAAUGGGGUGAGUACCAGAAGUAGGCUACAACUAGAGGAACUAGCUCCAAAGAAGAGAGAUGUGGAGGUAGUAGGUGGAGAAAAGAAACAAGAAGAGGUGAUAAAGAACUCAAAUGUUGAGAAGAGUGUUCCUCAUGUGCAACCACCUCCUCCUUUUCUACAAAAGUUCAUAAAGUAGAAUGAAGAUGAAUGCUUCGGUAAGUUUCUCUCUCCUUAAACAAGUUCAAAUUAAUCUGCCUUUGGUUGAUAUUUUGCAGGAAAUUCCUAAAUAUGCCAAGUAUGUGCAUGAAGGAGAUAGUGGCGAACAAGAGAAGGCUAACAGAGUAAAUAAGGGGCGAAAUGGAAGAAAUUUUCAACAACUCUCCUGAACUUUGAACAAUUUACUUAUUUUGAACUAUGAAAUAAGACCUGAUAAUUCACCUAUUUUGAAACAGAGGGAGUAUUAAGUUAAGUAAUUUUUAUGUAACAAUAAAAAUAAAGGAAAGUACUGCUCCCUCUGUCCCUAAUUACUUGUCCACUUUUCAUUUUUUAGUUAUCCAUAAUUACUUGUCCAUUUUGACAAAUCAAGCAAUGACAUUUUUUUUUUACCUAUUAUACUCUCAAUUAAUUACUUUGAAAAAUAUAGAACUUUUUGAAAAUUAUAAGUUUUUAAUUCAUUUACUUCAUAAUUAAUAAGGGUAAAUUGGUGAAUUCAUUGUGUCAGUAGUUAUUUUCUUAAUAGAUAUGCCAAUUUAAAAGUGCACAAAUAAUUAGGUAUAGGGAGUAACUUUGUUGAGAUAUUUAUGAAUAUAAACUUAAAUGACCUUCCAUGACCAUAUAUUUGCCAGCUUUAGCAACUCCACCUAUCAAUUUCCUCCGAAACAAAACCCCACACAAUGACUUUGAAAAGUUUCCUCUCUACAGCUCCAACUUAUAAGGACUUGAACUUGCCAUAAUUUAUAUUAAAAAUUCUUGCAUUGUCAAUAUCACAAUUUGUCAUCUAUUAGUUAUACAUAACAUAAUAUCAAAUAGAGCGAUAUUAAUAAAUAACAAUAUAUAAAGUUAAUGAAUACACUGUUUUUUUAAUGCAUCUACUAUUAAAAAUAGAGGUUUUUUUCACCAUGAAUCAAUAAGAAAUUUUUGUCAUUAAAUAUGAUUUACCUAUUUUUAUCUAACCAACUCACUGAAAUAAUGCAUGAUAAAAAAUGGAUUGUCAUUGAAAUACCGGGAAUAACAACUAAACAUUUUUUCGUUUCUCACUAAUUUAACCAAAAUAUGAAUAGAAAUAGUCAUUUAAUAUUUUUCAGUAGAAAAAAAAUUACUGAUCCUACCAAAAGACCCCUAACGUGCACACUAUACUCUUAAACGUAAAAGCAAAUGGAUAUUUUCAAUUUUAACCUUAUUUUCCCAACUCCCAUAAACCAUAAAUGCAAAUUAUGUAGUGUGAUACUCUCUAUGUCCCUAAUUACUUGUCCACUUUUCCUUUUUUAGUUGUCCCUAAUUACUUGUCUAUUUUGACAAAUCAAGAAGGACACAUUUUUUUUACAUAUUGUACACUCAAUUAAUUAAUUUGAAAAAGGUAGAACUUUUUGAAAAACUUAAAUUUUUAAUUUAACCACUUCAUAAUUAAUAGGGGUAAAAUGGAAAAGUUACUAUGCCAAUUAUUAUUUUCUUGAUAAGUGUGUCAAUUCAAAAGUGAACAAGUAAUUAGGAACAGCGGGAGUACUAGUAUAGAACAAUUAAUGUACUUUAGUGUCUAGUAUAGAACAAUUAAUGUGCAAAGUACUAAGGUAUCUUAUCAUAAUUUGUCAUGGAUUGAACAUUCACAUUACAAAAGUUCUAGAUCUAAAUUAAAUCCAUAUAAAACUAAAUGCAUAAUGUUGAACAUCACGUAUAAUAAACUAUGGAGUACUUGAAUAUUCACAUUACCAUUAAGGUAGCUUUCAAAUUUGCCUUGAUUUCUUCUAUUGUAACCAUAACAUGGUGGUGGUGUUUGCACACCGUCAUACGCUGCUACCGCCGUCACAACAACGCCGAUGAACAUGAAGCUCCUCCGACACCGACACCGGCACCGGCACCGGCUAUAAACCCAUCCGUUAACAUCCAACCUGACGAUGACGUUUAAGGUGAUUAUACUUUUGAAAUAAUGGAUUCAAUUAUUUUUUGUAGUUUUAUUAUUUUUCAUAUAUAAUGUAUUGUGUACGUGUUUAUUUUUACAAACAAUUUAUGUACUCUCUUUGUCUCUAUUUAUGCGGCAUAGUUUGAUCGGAUUUCAAGAGUGAAGUAUUUUAAUUUUUAUCGUGAAUUUGAAAAUUACGUAAAAAGUACCACAAGUCAUGAUAAUAAUUAACAAUGUAAAAUAUAUAAUUAAAAAUAGAGGACUUUUUUUGCAAAUGACACUAUAAUAAACUUAGUUAUGCUCCAUAGUUAUAGUUUGCAUAUUUAUGAGUUGUAACUACAGUUUAAGUUUCAUCAUUUGUAUAAUUCGCGUGUGAGUUUGUAUAACUAAGUUAUUUUUAUAAAAACUUGAAAUAAUAAAUCUAUACAAACACAAAUAUCUGAACUUUAAACAGUUAUACAAAUUAUAUUAUACAAAAUUACAUUAUACAAAAGUUAUACAAAUUAUAUUAUACAAAUUCUGAAUUAUACAAACGUGCGAAUUAUACAAACUCGAAACCCCAGCCCACGUAAUUAUCAAUGAAAGUUGGUCGCGAGUGGUAAUUAACUAAAACUAUAGCUAUGACGACUAAUUAACUAGUAUAUGUUUGCUUAAUCAUGUAAUUUCCCCUUAAAAGAAUAUUACAAUAAAAAAGACUUAUUUGACUAUCGAAAUUUAAAAAUCGUACCACACAAAUUGAGACGAAUGAUCGAGUAUUAUAUAUAUAUAUAUAUCAAGACUAGAUGAAUUUACUUAUAUAUAGUAUAACUUAAUUGCUAUAUAUAUAUAUAUAGAGAGAGAAAAUAUACCCCCUUCCAAAAUUGAAUUUUCUUUUUGGCUCUAAUGUUUUGUGGCACAGGGACAAGGAAACAUCUAUGAAGCUACAAAAAUUAUCUGCAAAAUGAGUGAAAUUAAAGACAGUUCGUUUUUUUCCAAUUUUUCAUUCGAUGUUCGAAAUUUAUAUUGGAACCCGAUUAAUUUGAAUUUGUAUUGUGUAAUGCUUCAUCUUUUAUGAAGUGUUUUCUACCAAGAAUCUUUCCAUAGUUCAUUUAUUUUAGAGAUAAAGUACUAGAAUAAUAUUGUUGGUUGUUUAGCUAAUGAACCAAAUUUGAUAAAUUUAAUUUGAUAGUUUUUUCAUUUGCCUUCCCAAAAAUAUGUCUAGUUGUGCAGAAAAAAGAAUGUUAUUAGCUACACAUAAUUCAUAUGUAAAUUGCAUCCAAUGAAUACAUUUUAUCUAAUGUUUUGAACUUUUCAGUGGUAUUUACUUUAAUUAUACGCAUUUGUCUCAAUAAUUCAAUACUAUAUUCCAGACAUUUCCUAGUUGAGGUUUGUUAUGGGUCAGGUUUUUGACAUUUUUGAAUAAAUCACUUUCAAAUGUCCAGAAUAUUUUCACAAUUUAUAAAAAUACUUAAAUAUACACCACUUAAUUUUAUUUUUGUAAAAGUACCUAAAUUGAUUGAAGGUAAACAUGUAAAAUCUAAGAAAAAAAAUUAAAAUUCUAACCUAUGAAUGGUGCCACAUCAUUUCCUCGAAGAUCUAUGAUAGGUAGAUAGAUAGAUUUUGCUGAAAAAAAUACAUACUAAGAUAGUAAGAUUGCAUCAUUUUAUAAGAUUAAUUAUGAAUACUAUAUAGACUUAAUUUCAUGUAUUGUAGCUAUGGAGAAAAUAUCGAAUAAAAUAGAAAGUUCAUAAAUAUUGUAGAGUUAAAUGUUACUUUUAAUACUAACACAAAAUGAGGGAAAUUCUUCUAGCCACAAAGUUUUUGACCUAAAUAAGUCAUUAUUAAAAUUAAUUCACCAAAACAAUAUGUUUUUUUUUUGAAAUUUUACAAAACUAGUACAAACGUAUUUCUCAGUAACGUUUUAGGUUACAUUUUAUUCAAGAAAAUUUAAUGACAAAAAAAAAAAAA
rnacentral:lncRNA from 1 species